UACAGGGGGGGCAAGCGUUGUUCGGAAUUACUGGGCGUAAAGGGUUCGUAGGUGGCCAACUAAGUCAUACGUGAAAUCCCUCAGCUUAACUGGGGAACUGCGCCUGAUACUGGUUGGCUUGAGUGCAGGAGAGGAACGCGGAAUUCCAGGUGUAGCGGUGAAAUGCGCAGAUAUCAGGAAGAACACCCGUGGCGAAGGCGGUUCUCUGGGACGGUACUGACGCUGAGGAGCGAAAGCGUGGGGAGCGAACAGG
rnacentral:rRNA from 1 species